CAUAGGUUCAUAAUUAUGUGCUUUGGGGUGUGAUUUCAAAUUAGGUUGAUUACCAGUCCUUUCCAGGUAUCAAUUUUUAGUAAUUUGAAGUAAGAUUUACUUUAAUCUAUUGUUAACUCUCUUUUAAGCAUGUCAAUAUUAAUUUCUUAUCUCAUUUACUUUGAUUUGUCUCAUUUAUGCCUCUACAAAUUAAAUAGAAGCUCUUUCUACAAAAGGCAGUAUUAAGACUAAAUUUUUUACUAUCUUUCUAUCAUUUAUCAUUAUUUUUCUAUUAUAUCUUUCCACUACAUUCUUCUAAAAUAAAAUCCAUUUUAUUUUUAUUUUUUUAUCAUAUAGUCAUGUUACUACAUGAUAUUUACCUCCUUUAAACAUAUGCAUCCUUUGAUAUGUAUCAAAUAAUUCAAAUCUUGUUUGGUUUAUAUCAUAUUUUCCAUUUCUUCAUCAAAUUCUUCUUUAUUAUUUUUCCUAUUCAAGUCAAAAUCAUCUUCUUGUCUUAAAAGAUUUGUAUCUUCAACAAGAUCUUUUAUAUUUAUUUUUAUUUAACUUUGUUUG
rnacentral:lncRNA from 1 species